CUGAUAGAUGCUACAUCAGAAGAUCAGCAGCACAGGUGACAGGGGAAGCUCUGGGACUUUAAGCUGCGUAUCAGGCCAGAAAAAUGCACAGAAAAGCUCAGGGUAGGUUGGAAGGAUUGUGUCCCUUUGUAUAAUUUCUGUUACUUUUUCUCAUCUGCUCUUGGGUAGCCUGUCUUGGGAAAAUGUACCUUGAAGAAGAAUGGAGCAGGACUUUGUAAAAAAAAAAAAAAAAAAAGCCUGGCUAUGCAGAGAACAAGGCUAAAAGAAGGUCUGUGGUCUAGGAGAUGAAAGUAUGACCUCAUGGGCCCACAUUCUUGGAGGAAGUUGGAGGUAUUUCCCUGAGAUCUUCCUGCAGAGCCUCUCCAGGGGCAUGUCUAUCAUGAUGGCAGGAACCUGAAUCAGCUGGUCCCAGGACAUCUGCAGUCAGGAAGGACAGACUGGAAGUUCCUGUUCAAUUCUCCUUUGCAAUUAUCCCAAGACUCCAGCCAAUGGUAUUGAGAAAGAAAAAAUAAAGCAUUCGCAAGACCGAUGGUUGCAUACCAGAUACCAGGAGAUGUAUUCAUUUGCCUCGUAUGGCUGGAUUUUGUACAUACCUGCAGCCUAAAAGGGUAUUUGGCUUUCUGGUUUAUCAGGUGGGACAUGCUGGUCUGCACAACACCUUGGGAACCAGUAGCUGAGGAGCUGGCUCUCUGCUGAGACUGGUGCUCAGGUGACACUCUGAGCCCAUAUCUUCAGAUUUAUCAGAAAGCCAAGGAAGGGCUUUCCAGAGCGAGCCUGGGUGGAGUUCUUUCCCAAGGGCUGGCUGGCACUCAGGGAAGAAGCAAGAACUUGAUUCACGGGAUGCUCUCUGCCCUCCUCCACUCUGACAGCUACCACAAGGACCAAAGUGUGCCUCUUGAUCCUACAAUGUGAGGAAUGUUCCAGAGCCAGAUAGGCAUGAAGCCAUCCACUGAGAGGCAGGGUGGAGCUGCUCCCCAGGCCAAGGCUUGACAGCUCAUGAGCUCUGUGGAAGCAGGUGGCUGCCCACCCCACUCUCCUACCUCCCUACUGUUGCCUGGAUACACAAAGUUGUGCGGCACAGAGAGCCAGCUCUUCCAUCUGUGGUCUUGGAAUGCUGGGAGCUGAGACAAGGCCUAUUCAUUCUCUCCUCGAGCCUUCCUUGGAGGAUUCACUACUGAUGCUAUCCAGACCUGAGGAGAGUGCCACACAGGUGGAGUCUCAGAUCUGGCCACACCUUGGUGAAUUGCUCUUGUUUCCUAUUCUUCCACUGUAGACUAACCAGUUGGAUGACUCUCUCUGCUCUUAUGUGUCCCCUCCGCCCCACUCUUAUUUAUAGCCCUUGGUGGUUAAUUUCUUGUGUGAUUUGAAUCCAAGUAACUGUGCACUACUCUGAAAUAUUCUUCAGUUAAACGGGAAUCUUGGGAACACUUCGUUGUGAAAGUCAUAAGAGCCUUUGCGGGGAGUUGAUGUUCUGUCAAGAGUCAGGGCUCAAAACUCUUUCUCCGGACUCACACUUCCAGGUAGGAUUCCCAUACCACACAGGCAGAUUCUGUUCCUACACUGUCUCAGGGAGUGGCCUGUAGGUUGGCAGUUGCCACACAGGGCCUCAGAGAUGCUGUGCGUCUUCAGCAUAUCUUUAGAAGGUGGAAGAAGGUUUUCUAACUAUCUAACCUUUUUUUGAUUAAGCAGUAACCCUUCCAGCCUUCAGGCAUUUUGGCAAGAGCCAUUUCUAGCUUCCUGGCUUCACACAAGCCCAGGGGGACUGUCACCAUCUGAGGGGAAGUAGAAGAUUCAGUUCCUGCUCAGAGGACCACCGGGCUCCCAACGCAUCCUUUCCCAGUUGUGUAGAGGCUUUGACAUUUGCCUUUGUUUCUGACUCCUAGGAUUUUCCCUUUCUUUCUUUAAAGCUAAAUAUAUUAACCUACAUCUUUCACAUUUCACCCUACCUUGGCCUUGAGUGAUUCAGUUUGCUGCCUGACUGGCUCAUCUGGGCCACAGAGGGCUUUGUGUAGAGGCUUUUAGAUCCUCGCCACUACGGCUCCAUCCUCAACUGCUUACACAGGGCAGCCUUUGUUGCAUCCUGCUUCAAGGUGGUGUCACUGUGUGAGUCUGCCUUGACUUUUUGAGCCUUCUCCACCUGUGAGGAGAGAGUGGCAGGCAUGCUGCGUGUGAUGAAGUGAGGUUUAAGUACAAACCAGCGUCUGGCUCACACAGCCCAAUCAAUGACUAUUGAGCCAGUCCUCUGAGCUCCAAGCUACUUCUUUUAAAACUUGCUCUGAGCUGGGCACGGUGGCACACACCAUGAAUCCCAGCAUUGAGGAGGCAGAGGCAGACUGAUCUCUGUGAGUUCGAGGCCAGCCUGGUCUCCAGAGUGAGUUCCAAGACAGCCAGAGCUUCACUGAGAAACCCUGCCUUUAACAAAACAGAACAGAAAACAAACAGCAACCAAAAUGGCCCUGAGCUAAAAACAACAAAAACAGCAACAAUUAGAUUUUCAGUCUGGAAAGGGCUUUAAAAAUUUUGUUUUCUGGACUGGAUGCUUUCUGAAAUCGUGAGGGUUCUUUCUGUCUGCAUCUCUCUGCAAUAGGAAGUGAGCAUGAGCUAAACUAGAGACUCUGUAGCCUGGGUGUGAUAGCCUGUGCAUCAUCACGAAUUUCUUCCACACCAGGAUACCCCUUCAAGCCCUGCUCCCCAUCCUUCAGCUAUGAUAUCUUUCCCCCUAAUGACUCACAAUGAAGGUGUGGCAGAAUCAGUUCUCAGUAGCACCCAAGCUUCCCCUUGUGUCUUAGUGCCUCAACGCUUUGUCACCUGUCCCUAGGUGUUUCCUGGAACCACCUAGUGGGCUUUGAUUUAAGCUCUAGGUGCAGGCCAGUGGUGGUCUACUUAAUUAGUGUGUAGGAGAACACGGGCUUAAUCCCUAGUGCCACAUAGGUCAAAAGGCAAAACAAAACAAAAACAAAGAGAAUAAAUGUAUAAUAAGUUUCCUUCCUUAACUAUAUGUAUAUGUUAACCAUAUGUGUAUGUUGACCUCUGUCAGCUCUAUAAUAGAAGCGGGGGACCUGUUACAGAAGGCUUUGUUUUCCGCUAUGACUCUCUCAUUCUCUAUUCAGGCCUAAAGAAAAGAUUUAGACAAGCUUUGUUUCCUGUUACCUGGGCUGUGAAAAGGACCAAUUUUACACGCAACAACAACCACCAUUGGACUAUGAAUACAAAGCUAAAAUUGCAAAAAAUUGCAAAACGCUAUCUUCAUACAAACAUUGCUGUCAUGGAUUCUCUGAAGCCGACGAUGGAGUCUCUGUGGUGCUGAAUGGGUCUGUAGAGGGCUGACAUCAAAACACUUGAAACC